rnacentral:rRNA from 1 species
UAAUUCGAUGCAACGCGAAGAACCUUACCAGGGUUUGACAUCCUGCGAAUCCCUUGGAAACGAGGGAGUGCCUUCGGGAGCGCAGAGACAGGUGGUGCAUGGCUGUCGUCAGCUCGUGUCGUGAGAUGUUGGGUUAAGUCCCGCAACGAGCGCAACCCACGUCUUUAGUUGCCAGCAUUUAGUUGGGCACUCUAGAGAGACCGCCGGUGAUAAACCGGAGGAAGGUGUGGAUGACGUCAAGUCAUCAUGCCCCUUACAUCCUGGGCUACACACGUACUACAAUGCUACGGACAAAGGGUUGCAAACUCGCGAGAGCUAGCUAAUCCCAUAAACCGUGGCUCAGUUCAGAUCGUAGGCUGCAACUCGCCUACGUGAAGGAGGAAUCGCUAGUAAUCGCAGGUCAGCAUACUGCGGUGAAUACGUUCCCGGGCCUUGUACACACCGCCCGUCACACCAUGGAAGUUGGCCACGCCCGAAGUCGUUACUCCAACCCGUAAGGGAGG